CAGUAGACAGACCAGUAGACAAGAUAAAUACAUCAGUAAAAUAAUAUCUAAUAUGGGGAUAACCCUGACCGAGAUGGCUAAGGAUAAAAACUUGUAAUCACAAGGUCACAAGUUUGAAUCCCAGUCCUCUUGGUUUGAGCCGGUCAGCUAUGGGCAACCUAGGCUGGUUUACCUACAUGUGGUCCUUUGCCGGCUAGGGUCACAAGGCGAGGUUUACCCAAUGCACACCCUCGGGUAGUGGCUGCGGGUUUCCCUGGUCCAAGCCA